GGGCAAUGCGGGGUGCUAUAAUGCAGUCGACGCACAGCGAAAGGUGCUUGCACCUUUCAAGUGAGUGGCGAACGGGUGAGUAACACGUGGACAACCUGCCUCAAGGCUGGGGAUAACAUUUGGAAACAGAUGCUAAUACCGAAUGAAACUUAGUGUCGCAUGAUACGAAGUUAAAAGGCGCUUUGGCGUCACCUAGAGAUGGAUCCGCGGUGCAUUAGUUAGUUGGUGGGGUAAAGGCCUACCAAGACAAUGAUGCAUAGCCGAGUUGAGAGACUGAUCGGCCACAUUGGGACUGAGACACGGCCCAAACUCCUACGGGAGGCUGCAGUAGGGAAUCUUCCACAAUGGGCGAAAGCCUGAUGGAGCAACGCCGCGUGUGUGAUGAAGGCUUUCGGGUCGUAAAGCACUGUUGUAUGGGAAGAACAGCUAGAAUAGGGAAUGAUUUUAGUUUGACGGUACCAUACCAGAAAGGGACGGCUAAAUACGUGCCAGCAGCCGCGGUAAUACGUAUGUCCCGAGCGUUAUCCGGAUUUAUUGGGCGUAAAGCGAGCGCAGACGGUUGAUUAAGUCUGAUGUGAAAGCCCGGAGCUCAACUCCGGAAUGGCAUUGGAAACUGGUUAACUUGAGUGCAGUAGAGGUAAGUGGAACUCCAUGUGUAGCGGUGGAAUGCGUAGAUAUAUGGAAGAACACCAGUGGCGAAGGCGGCUUACUGGACUGUAACUGACGUUGAGGCUCGAAAGUGUGGGUAGCAAACAGGAUUAGAUACCCUGGUAGUCCACACCGUAAACGAUGAACACUAGGUGUUAGGAGGUUUCCGCCUCUUAGUGCCGAAGCUAACGCAUUAAGUGUUCCGCCUGGGGAGUACGACCGCAAGGUUGAAACUCAAAGGAAUUGACGGGGACCCGCACAAGCGGUGGAGCAUGUGGUUUAAUUCGAAGCAACGCGAAGAGCCUUACCAGGUCUUGACAUCCUUUGAAGCUUUUAGAGAUAGAAGUGUUCUCUUCGGAGACAAAGUGACAGGUGGUGCAUGGUCGUCGUCAGCUCGUGUCGUGAGAUGUUGGGUUAAGUCCCGCACGAGCGCAACCCUUAUGUUAGUUGCCAGCAUUCAGAUGGGCACUCUAGGCGGAGACUGCCGGUGACC
rnacentral:rRNA from 1 species